UGCGUAGGUGGUUUCUUAAGUCAGAGGUGAAAGGCUACGGCUCAACCGUAGUAAGCCUUUGAAACUGAGAAACUUGAGUGCAGGAGAGGAGAGUAGAAUUCCUAGUGUAGCGGUGAAAUGCGUAGAUAUUAGGAGGAAUACCAGUUGCGAAGGCGGCUCUCCGGACUGUAACUGACACUGAGGCACGAAAGCGUGGGGAGCAAACA
rnacentral:rRNA from 1 species